rnacentral:rRNA from 1 species
AGGACGAACGCUGGCGGCGUGCUUAACACAUGCAAGUCGAGCGGAAAGGCCCUUCGGGGUACUCGAGCGGCGAACGGGUGAGUAACACGUGAGCAACCUGCCCUUAGCUCUGGGAUAGCUCCGGGAAACCGGAAUUAAUACCGGAUAUGACCUAGGCCGACAUCGGCCGUGGUGGAAAGUUUUUCGGCUAGGGAUGGACUCGCGGCCUAUCAGCUAGUUGGUGGGGUAAUGGCCUACCAAGGCGACGACGGGUAGCCGGCCUGAGAGGGCGACCGGCCACACUGGGACUGAGACACGGCCCAGACUCCUACGGGAGGCAGCAGUGGGAAUCUUGCGCAAUGGGCGAAAGCCUGACGCAGCGACGCCGCGUGGGGGAUGAAGGCCUUCGGGUUGUAAACCCCGUUUCAGCAGGGACGAAGCGAAAGUGACGGUACCUGCAGAAGAAGCGCCGGCUAACUACGCGCCAGCAGCCGC